rnacentral:rRNA from 1 species
UACGGGGGGGGCAAGCGUUGUUCGGAAUUACUGGGCGUAAAGGGCGCGUAGGCGGCCUGUUAAGUCGAACGUGAAAUCCCUGGGCUCAACCCAGGAACUGCGUCCGAUACUGGCAGGCUUGAAUUCGGGAGAGGGAUGCGGAAUUCCAGGUGUAGCGGUGAAAUGCGUAGAUAUCUGGAGGAACACCGGUGGCGAAGGCGGCAUCCUGGACCGACAUUGACGCUGAGGAGCGAAAGCUAGGGGAGCAAACGGG